rnacentral:lncRNA from 1 species
CUCCUUUGCUUCAUAGCAACAAUGAAAUUAACCUCUCUUUUGUCCUGCAGGUGUUGUGUUCUGAUAAUGCAUAUCCUUUACAAGUAUGAGCAAAUUAUUUGCUUUGCAUACAAAUUGAGCAUAAGCUGAAUCCAUAUGGAAAAGGAGAUGAACACUUCAUAUAUUUUUGAGCUACAGAAUACACAAAGAAAGAGAAAUGUAAUGAACCCAUCAUGAGAUUAAAGACGAAUCAAAAUUCAUCAGCAACAUUUAGAGAGAAAGAUUAAAAACUCAAGAGAUGAAAACUUGAAUAGAAACCUUGACACUACUUGUGAACUAGCAUUGCUGGGUGACAACAAUGAGUUUCUUGUGGAUUUCUUUCUUCUUGGAUACAAAAUUCAAUGACUUCUUUUUCCUGAGCAAGAAUCAAGAGAACAUAUUUUGUGAAACCAAGAAAUCUUUGAAGGCCUUCUGACAACUUCAAAAUCAGCAUGCUUUUAAACUGUGAUACCACAUCAAUGGAUUUUUCUUUAAGACAGAUUGUGACUGGGAAGAAGAAGAAGAAGAAGAAGAAGAAGGAGAAGAAGAAGAAGAAGAAGAAGAAGAAGAAGAAGAAGAAAAGAAAAAAGAAAAAAAAAGAAGAGAGAGAACUUCAAAGGUAAAUUAAAUUUCCAACCGUUUGCAACAGAGUUUGUGAAAAAGCUCUGCACUUGCUGGUCAUACAAAAGACAUCUAGGUAUUUUUGGUUUUGGAAAUCAGGUAUGAUUUCUACAGUCAUCCAAAACCUGCCACUAUCAAUUUCAGAUAGAGGUUAAAUAACUCAAACUUUUCAAUGAGAUUUUCUUUUCUACCUGAAUCAGAAAGCAAUUCUAUAUUCAGAUCUGUGUCUAAUGUUUGAAAGUCUUCUGAAAACCUUUUCCUUCACAUUAUUGUCAGCAUGAAAGACAAAGUCUUCUGAAAACUGGGUCAGGAAAUGACAUCUUCAAUGAUAUCCAUCUAUUUUGGCUCUGAUAAGCCCUUUGAGAGGACUUGACCCAGAAGAUCAAUAAAAUGACAAACCACUAAAAUGUACA